rnacentral:rRNA from 1 species
GAAAGGCUUGGCGGUGAGGGAUGGGGGAUGCGUCCGAUUAGCCAGACGGCGGGGUAACGGCCCACCGUGGCGACGAUCGGUAGGGGUUCUGAGAGGAAGGUCCCCCACACUGGAACUGAGACACGGUCCAGACUCCUACGGGAGGCAGCAGUGAGGAAUAUUGGUCAAUGGGCGUAAGCCUGAACCAGCCAAGUAGCGUGCAGGACGACGGCCCUAUGGGUUGUAAACUGCUUUUAUGCGGGGAUAAAGUGGCCCACGUGUGGGUUUUUGCAGGUACCGCAUGAAUAAGGACCGGCUAAUUCCGUGCCAGCAGCCGCGGUAAUACGGAAGGUCCGGGCGUUAUCCGGAUUUAUUGGGUUUAAAGGGAGCGUAGGCCGCGCCUUAAGCGUGUUGUGAAAUCGGGGUGCUCAACAUCCGGCUUGCAGCGCGAACUGGGGCACUUGAGUGCGCAGAAAGUAGGCGGAAUUCGUGGUGUAGCGGUGAAAUGCUUAGAUAUCACGAGGAACUCCGAUUGCGAAGGCAGCCUACUGUAGCGCUACUGACGCUGAUGCUCGAAAGCGUGGGUAUCGAACAGGAUUAGAUACCCUGGUAGUCCACGCGGUAAACGAUGGAUGCUCGUUGUCGGCCCUUUGGGUCGGUGACCAAGCGAAAGCGUUAAGCAUCCCACCUGGGGAGUACGCCGGCAACGGUGAAACUCAAAGGAAUUGACGGG